rnacentral:misc_RNA from 1 species
UAAGAAGCCGAAAGGCAACUUCAAACCAUCGCGAACGUAUCCAAGUUGCUUCGGCGGCGCGGGACCCCUCGGGGGACCGCAGCCCACGCCCUCCGGGGCGAGGGGCGCCCGCCGGGGGUCACAAACUCUCAUGUAUUACAGCGGCGUCUCUGAGUGAAAAACAAAUAAGUCA